GACCAAGCUCUGCUGCUCUGCAUGCCCUCGUUACCACUGAGGAGAAAAUCAAUACAUCACAGCAACAUUAAUUGAACCCCCAGACUAUAUUCCAUUUCCAUGUGGAAUCCAAGAGCUGCAAUAUUCAAUCCUUUUUAAACGUGUUAUAAAAUUUUUUUUGUAGUCUUUGCAACAAAAAGAACUUCAAAAUUUCUGAGAUUCCAACUUACAUAACCCUGCAAAUGCUGAUUAUGAGCAAGAAAGGAAGAUUUGGAACUCGACCCAAAAAGUGGUUUAAGCACCUGAAGAAAAGCCGUAGAUACUCUGAUUUGCUCAUUAUAAUGGCCUGCAAUGAUUUCCCUAAGUUUGGUUGCGUUUCCUGUACUCCCUAACACCUUUUUGUUAUGACGGAAUUUUUUUGGGAUGACCAUUAUCUUGUAAGUCUCAGGCGUUUGGGAAUUGAAGAUCAGUUUCCCCCAUUUACAGCCAGGCAAAGACUGGCAGUUGAACCCUUAAUGAUUCUCUAGAAACUGCUGAUAAAAAUUUAUGAGGUCUGCUCCUUUCCUGCUGGACAGAAAGUCACCGAAAUGACUUUCUUUGGGGUAAACUCAGUUGUGAGCAAGACACUCUGCUGCUUUUUAUCCUUCUCCAGCCAGAAGAGUCAGUACCUUGCUGAUAAAAGCCUGGUGACUACUUUCUUGUAAUAUGUGUGUAUUUUGAUGAUAGCUGCAUUUGAGUGAAGACUGGAGCUAUGGAAUUACAUUUCAUAUUUUUUUUUCCCUGCUUCCUAUUGCCACAUCCUUCAAACCCUCAGGUCUGCCUGGAAGUGGAGAGAUAGAAAACAGCAGAACAGAAAAUGGACACACUGUUGAGGUGAUUUAGGACCUCUUACAGACUUUCCCACAUUUUACUUCACUUGCAAUAGUUUGACCAAAAUCAGUUUAACUGUUCAC